UGGCGGACGGGUGAGUAACGCGUGGGUAACCUGCCUCAAAGAGGGGGACAACAGUUGGAAACGACUGCUAAUACCGCAUAAGCCCACGACCCGGCAUCGGGUAGAGGGAAAAGGAGCAAUCCGCUUUGAGAUGGCCUCGCGUCCGAUUAGCUAGUUGGUGAGGUAAUGGCCCACCAAGGCGACGAUCGGUAGCCGGACUGAGAGGUUGAACGGCCACAUUGGGACUGAGACACGGCCCAG
rnacentral:rRNA from 1 species